UACGGAGGGAGCUAGCGUUGUUCGGAAUUACUGGGCGUAAAGCGCGCGUAGGCGGCUUUGUAAGUUAGAGGUGAAAGCCCGGGGCUCAACCCCGGAAUUGCCUUUAAGACUGCAUCGCUUGAAUCCGGGAGAGGUGAGUGGAAUUCCGAGUGAUAGAGGUGAAAUUCGUAAGAUAUUCGGAAGAACACCAGUGGCGAAGGCGGCUG
rnacentral:rRNA from 1 species